UACAUACACACAUACACACGCA
rnacentral:miRNA from 1 species